GACGAACGCUGGCGGCGUGCUUAACACAUGCAAGUCGAACGGUAAGGCCCUUGGGGGUACACGAGUGGCGAACGGGUGAGUAACACGUGGGUGAUCUGCCCUGCACUUCGGGAUAAGCCUGGGAAACUGGGUCUAAUACCGGAUAGGACUCCGGACUGCAUGGUCUGGGGUGGAAAGCUUUUGCGGUGUGGGAUGGGCCCGCGGCCUAUCAGCUUGUUGGGGGGGUGAUGGCCUACCCAGGCGACGACGGGUAGCCGGCCUGAGAGGGUGACCGGCCACACUGGGACUGAGAUACGGCCCAGACUGCUACGGGAGGCAGCAGUGGGGAAUAUUGCACAAUGGGCGCAAGCCUGGUGCAGCGACGCCGCGUGAGGGAUGACGGCCUUCGGGUUGUAAACCUCUUUCAGCAUCGACGAAGCGAAAGUGACGGUAGGUGCAGAAGAAGGACCGGCCAACUACGUGCCAGCAGCCGCAGUAA
rnacentral:rRNA from 1 species